UUUCAUUUAUCGAAAGUUCAUAAAUAUCCCCACCCUCGCCAAAAUCAACAAACAAAUCAGCUAGUGCGGCAAUAUAAACUAAACAAUUUGAAAUAGUAGGAUAAUAUUGCCCAGAAAAUGCAUUUGUAGCAACUUGAAAAUGUUCUAAAAAAUCUAAAAGAAUUUUAACAUUCGUCCAAUCUUAGGUAAUAAGCAUUUCAUCA
rnacentral:lncRNA from 1 species